rnacentral:lncRNA from 1 species
AUUGAUUGAAACGAAACCAACCCCUACUGGCACAAAACACACCUAUUGAUUGAACUAAACCAACCCCAUCACAGCAUACAGAACGAAACCACCCUACUACAUUGAUGGACUAUUCAUUCAUUCACGGUCAACAUCGUUCAUGCGUAGAAAAGGUAGUAUCGUCCCCGGGCAUCAUAGAAAGAAGGUAGUACCCUGGUACAUAAAGCAAGGAUCGAAGUUCCCCUAAGUUCAUAUUGAGCCUGGGAGGAAUCAUUUGAGCGGGGCAGAAGCGCCAGUAGAUUAGAAGAAGAAGCGGAAGCUAUCAACUAUAAAUAAGGGAGUUUGGGAACACAAAAUCAGAUUAGAUGC